GGCUAUUCAAAACAACAAGCAGGGUUUUAGUCAUUUAACUAAUUCUCCACUAACCUGGUGGAGAAUUGACAAGAGAAUUGCAAGAACUAUGUAGAUGUUCCAGAAAAACUUCCAAAAGACAUUCUCACCCUUACUUGCCUUAAAGGAACACUCCACACACCUAAAGUACUUUAACUUGCUGAAAUGUGCAGAUUUCAAUAGAA